rnacentral:rRNA from 4 species
ACGCUGGCGGCGUGCCUAAUACAUGCAAGUCGAGCGAACAGACGAGGAGCUUGCUCCUCUGACGUUAGCGGCGGACGGGUGAGUAACACGUGGAUAACCUACCUAUAAGACUGGGAUAACUUCGGGAAACCGGAGCUAAUACCGGAUAACAUGUUGAACCGCAUGGUUCAACAGUGAAAGACGGUCUUGCUGUCACUUAUAGAUGGAUCCGCGCCGCAUUAGCUAGUUGGUAAGGUAACGGCUUACCAAGGCAACGAUGCGUAGCCGACCUGAGAGGGUGAUCGGCCACACUGGAACUGAGACACGGUCCAGACUCCUACGGGAGGCAGCAGUAGGGAAUCUUCCGCAAUGGGCGAAAGCCUGACGGAGCAACGCCGCGUGAGUGAAGAAGGUCUUCGGAUCGUAAAACUCUGUUAUUAGGGAAGAACAAAUGUGUAAGUAACUAUGCACGUCUUGACGGUACCUAAUCAGAAAGCCACGGCUAACUACGUGCCAGCAGCCGCGGUAAUACGUAGGUGGCAAGCGUUAUCCGGAAUUAUUGGGCGUAAAGCGCGCGUAGGCGGUUUUUUAAGUCUGAUGUGAAAGCCCACGGCUCAACCGUGGAGGGUCAUUGGAAACUGGAAAACUUGAGUGCAGAAGAGGAAAGUGGAAUUCCAUGUGUAGCGGUGAAAUGCGCAGAGAUAUGGAGGAACACCAGUGGCGAAGGCGACUUUCUGGUCUGUAACUGACGCUGAUGUGCGAAAGCGUGGGGAUCAAACAGGAUUAGAUACCCUGGUAGUCCACGCCGUAAACGAUGAGUGCUAAGUGUUAGGGGGUUUCCGCCCCUUAGUGCUGCAGCUAACGCAUUAAGCACUCCGC